GAUGAACGCUAGCGGCAGGCCUAAUACAUGCAAGUCGAACGGGAUCCAGAUCAAAGCUUGCUUUGGUCUGGUGAGAGUGGCGCACGGGUGCGUAACGCGUGAGCAACCUACCCUUGUCAGGGGGAUAGCCCGGCGAAAGUCGGAUUAAUACCGCAUGACAUCAUUGAGAGGCAUCUUUCGAUGAUCAAAGAUUUAUCGGACAAGGAUGGGCUCGCGUGACAUUAGCUAGUUGGUAAGGUAACGGCUUACCAAGGCUGCGAUGUCUAGGGGCUCUGAGAGGAGAAUCCCCCACACUGGUACUGAGACACGGACCAGACUCCUACGGGAGGCAGCAGUAAGGAAUAUUGGUCAAUGGACGGAAGUCUGAACCAGCCAUGCCGCGUGCAGGAGGACGGCCCUAUGGGUUGUAAACUGCUUUUAUACGGGAACAAACGUCGGUACGUGUACCGGUCUGAGUGUACCGUAAGAAUAAGAAUCGGCUAACUCCGUG
rnacentral:rRNA from 1 species